AGCCUUCUGUAUCCGUGCUGAGAUUUCGUCACACACCAGACCACAAGGG
rnacentral:pre_miRNA from 1 species